UCUUCAUAUUAUCUUAUACAGAUGGCAUACUAAACGUUCAAGUAAUGAGGAAUCAAUGCAGCAUAUGCUGGCUACUGGAAGGGCUAAGACAAAAGAUGGUACUCUUAUUAUAUCGGCAGUCAUAAAAGCCGAUAAUGGUGCUUUUUUUUGCACUGUGACAAACUCAGAGGGAACCGAAACAUUCAAAGUAGAUUUAUCUGUAACAUCUGCAUUAAGCGCUAGCAUACAGCCCGCCGUACAGACAGUUAGUCUGGGUCAUACUGCUGAUUUAGUUUGCAGUGUAUCUGGAUUUCCCACACAAAAUAUUAUUUGGAUGAAAGAUGGCGGUACCUUGCGCACAGGUUCUCGUGUACGACUCUUAUCCAAUGAGCAUAUUCAUAUCUCGUCCAUCGUAAAAGAAGAUAAGGGAAUGUAUCAAUGUAUUCUUAAAAACGAUUUUGAAUCUAUUCAGAGCUCCGCUGAAUUAAGAUUAGGAGAAGUUGCCCCUCAGUUGCUCUACAAGUUCAUUGAACAAACUAUGCAGCCAGGUCCAUCCGUAUCAUUAAAGUGCAGCGCUAGUGGAAAUCCGACACCAAAAAUUGUGUGGUAUGUGGAUGGGUUUCCUUUGCCUAACAAUGAUAGACUCAUGAUCGGUCAAUAUGUGACCAUGUUUGGGGAUGUCAUAUCUCACGUAAAUAUUACGGCAGUAAAGUCAGAAGACGGAGGAGAUUAUGAAUGUAGAGCUCUCUCAAAAGCUGGAGUGGCAUCGCACUCUGCUCGCCUUAACAUCUAUGGAAUGCCGUACAUACGUCAUAUGUCAAAGCUGUCGGCGGUGGCUGGUAAGGUUUUUACACUCAAGUGUCCUAUAGCUGGAUAUCCCAUCGACACAGUUAACAUUGAAAAAGACGGCGUUAGGUUACCCAUAAACAUAUGACAGCGUAUGCAAAACGGAACCUUAACUAUUGAAAACGUGCAACGCGGUGCAGAUCAGGGCACCUACACUUGCAUUGCUCGGAAUAAGCACAAUUACACUUCUCAGCGGUCAGUUGAAGUUCAAGUUUUAGUU
rnacentral:misc_RNA from 1 species